rnacentral:rRNA from 1 species
UUUAUGGAGAGUUUGAUCCUGGCUCAGGAUGAACGCUGGCGGCGUGCCUAAUACAUGCAAGUCGAGCGAACAGAUGAGGAGCUUGCUCCUCUGACGUUAGCGGCGGACGGGUGAGUAACACGUGGAUAACCUACCUAUAAGACUGGGAUAACUUCGGGAAACCGGAGCUAAUACCGGAUAAUAUAUUGAACCGCAUGGUUCAAUAG